AAGUGGUAUGUCUGUGUGUGUGUAUGUAUAUAUGUGCAUAUGUAUAUAUACAUACACACACACAAUAGA
rnacentral:miRNA from 1 species